UUUCCGCUCGGCUGUUUUCCUGCGCGGGAGCCGCAGGGCCGUAGGCAGCCAUGGCGCCCAGCCGGAAUGGCAUGGUCUUGAAGCCCCACUUCCACAAGGACUGGCAGCGGCGCGUGGCCACGUGGUUCAACCAGCCGGCCCGGAAGAUCCGCAGACGUAAGGCCCGGCAAGCCAAGGCGCGCCGCAUCGCCCCGCGCCCCGCGUCGGGGCCCAUCCGGCCCAUCGUGCGCUGCCCCACGGUUCGGUACCACACGAAGGUGCGCGCCGGCCGCGGCUUCAGCCUGGAGGAGCUCAGGGUGGCCGGCAUUCACAAGAAGGUGGCCCGGACCAUCGGCAUUUCUGUGGAUCCGAGGAGGCGGAACAAGUCCACGGAGUCCCUGCAGGCCAACGUGCAGCGGCUGAAGGAGUACCGCUCCAAACUCAUCCUCUUCCCCAGGAAGCCCUCGGCCCCCAAGAAGGGAGACAGUUCUGUGAGUACACGGCUCUCUGGCCGUCCUGGUGCGCGGGGACAGUGAGGCUUGGCUCCUUUAUCAGUGACACCCGUCCCUGGGUCUUGCUGGGGUGAGAA
rnacentral:sRNA from 1 species